rnacentral:rRNA from 1 species
CGGGGUGAGUAAUGCUUGGGAAUCUAGCUUAUGGAGGGGGGUAACUACGGGAAACUGUAGCUAAUACCGCGUAGUAUCGAGAGAUGAAAGUGUGGGACCUUCGGGCCACAUGCCAUAGGAUGAGCCCAAGUGGGAUUAGGUAGUUGGUGAGGUAAAGGCUCACCAAGCCGACGAUCUCUAGCUGGUCUGAGAGGAUGACCAGCCACACUGGGACUGGGACACGGCCCAG